AUCUUUCUGAGGAAACAGAACAUACUUGGCUCUCACUUUUCAUGCCCUGUUGGCUGGAUUUCUUCUUGGCUCUCUUCUGCACAGGGCAGAAAGACUGCAGUGUGUGUUUAUCAUUGGGAUGCUCUGAUGGGAAGCUGAAGUCUCAGAACAAGAACCCACUUUUCUUCACGCGUGAAUUGCCCACACCCGUCAAGCUGGGCAGUGACCCAUGAAGAGUGCUUCUGUAACUAUCAGAU
rnacentral:lncRNA from 1 species